rnacentral:rRNA from 1 species
UAGGGAAUCUUCCGCAAUGGGCGAAAGCCUGACGGAGCAACGCCGCGUGAGUGAUGAAGGUCUUCGGAUCGUAAAACUCUGUUAUUAGGGAAGAACAAAUGUGCAAGUAACUAUGCACGUCUUGACGGUACCUAAUCAGAAAGCCACGGCUAACUACGUGCCAGCAGCCGCGGUAAUACGUAGGUGGCAAGCGUUAUCCGGAAUUAUUGGGCGUAAAGCGCGCGUAGGCGUUUUUUUAAGUCUGAUGUGAAAGCCCACGGCUCAACCGUGGAGGGUCAUUGGAAACUGGAAAACUUGAGUGCAGAAGAGGAAAGUGGAAUUCCAUGUGUAGCGGUGAAAUGCGCAGAGAUAUGGAGGAACACCAGUGGCGAAGGCGACUUUCUGGUCUGUAACUGACGCUGAUGUGCGAAAGCGUGGGGAUCAAACAGG